AGUUCCCCGUUGGAAAAGGUGAUGAGUGCGAGGACCACCAGAUCGGCAAGAGAUUCCCCGUGGGUGCUGUGUGGAGCAGCCGUAACUCGGGCUGCAAGCAGAGCCACUGCAUCAAGGAGAACGGUACUCUCUACAUCGACCGCUUCCAGUGCCCCCAGGUGCGGAAGCGGGUGGACUUCCAGAAGCUGAAGGCGGACAACCUGUUCUGCAGAGAGGCCGUGGGAGACCGCAGGAAGGCAUUUCCGGACUGCUGUCCCCGCCUUGUGUGUAAACACUACGUUAAGGGCAAGCUGGUCGCUCUCCCUGAGGACAAGUACCCUUUUCUCUGAGCGCAGUUGAUGGCGUGCGGUAACAUUGAAAUAACGACUUGAUUGUGAUACGAUGGUGAUAGUUCUAGCUGCCGGAGACAGUCGCAAACCUGAUACGUUAUAGUUAUCAGUAGUUUUUUUUUUCACGAAACAGUAGUUUUGUGGAAUGGUACCACCAGUGCCUGUAGCGUAGCUUUGUGGCGCUUUGUUUCGUGAAGAGGUUUUGUGUUAAGUGCAUAUGUUAACUCAUCAAACCACCUGCAAUUUAAACAAUGUUUCCCCAGACAUCCAUGACAUAAUGGUUUAAGCAUGUUAUGCAGUGUUAUGUGGCUGUCAGCUCCUAAUUACACCUCUGUCGGAAGUGAGAUUUGCUUCGAGUCAGAAAACUAGUUGCUAAGAACGAGCGCACUGUCGGCUCUGCAUGCGUAAUUUUACCCGCUGGAAAAUGACUUGAAGUGAAGAACAUCUGAAAAUAAAGUUUCGGUUGGAA